rnacentral:rRNA from 1 species
CCUACGGGAGGCAGCAGUGAGGAAUCUUGGACAAUGGGGGCAACCCUGAUCCAGCCAUGCCGCGUGUGUGAAGAAGGCCUUCGGGUUGUAAAGCACUUUCAGUAGGGAGGAAGGCUUAUCCUUAAUACGGAUGAGUACUUGACGUUACCUACAGAAGAAGCACCGGCUAAUUCCGUGCCAGCAGCCGCGGUAAU